GACACACCUGACUUUUUUUUUCUCCAUAGUAAAUGAGGAUAGAAGUUAUCCUCGCUGCGAGCAGCAGCAAAGAGGUGACCUCCUCUCCAGCCACCAUAUGGGGAGGAGGACACACCUGACUUUUAUUUUUUCCAUAUUAAAUGAGGAUAGAAGUUAUCCUCGCUGCAAGCAGCAGCAAAGAGGUGUCCUCCUCCCCGACCACCAUAAGGGGAGCAGGACAGAUCUCGCUUUUCUUUUUUUUUUUCUCCACAGAAAAUGAGGAUAGAAAUUAUCCUCACUGCAAAGCAGCAACAACAAAGGGUGCGGAGGCCCCAACAGAGAUUACUCCGCUCCAUGGAGCCCUCCCUCAACCUUCACCAAGGUUGAGGCUGGAGACAAUCCAACCCCUCCAUCACAGAGGAGUUGGAACGGUGGAUGCAGAGGCCUCAACUCCUCCGCUCCACCUACCUUACUAUACCUUAACAUACUAUACCUUAACCUACUCUACCUUAACCUACUGUACCUUAUCCUACACUACCUUACCCUACUCUACCCCAGAACUACACCAAAUUUAUCUCCUGUCCCCCUUCCCACACCACAUAAGGGGAAGAGGACAGAUAUGACUUUCCUCUCUUAUAUUAAUUAAUUAUAUAUAUAUAUAUAAUAAUAUAUAUCAUUAAUAAUUAUUAUAUAUCAUUAAGAUAAUAAUUAUAUAUCAUUAAGUUAAUGAGGAUAUCCUCAAAAUUUGGAAAUUAUCCACAUAGACAUCAGUUCCUCCAGGCCUCAACAAGGUUGAGGCUGGAGACAAUCCAACCCCUCCAUCACGGAGGAGUUGGAACGGUGGAUGCGGAGACCUCAACUCCUCCGCUCCACCAAUCCUACUCUACCUUACCCUACUCUAACUUAACCUACUCUACAUUAUCCUACUCUACGUUAUCCUACUCUACGUUGUCCUACUCUACUCCAGAACCCCGCCAAAUUUAUGUCAGACUUAUCCUGUCCCCCUCCCCACCCCACAUAAGGGGAGGAGGACAGAUGGGAUUUUCCUCUCGUAUAUACACAGUAAAUGAGGAUAUUCUCCUCAAAUCUCUAAACCGUCCACAUAGACCUCAAACUUCCUCCAGCCAUCUCCAACAACACAAACCUGAUCCUAGCCGAAGACCUGCAGCAACGAUGGGUGCGGAGGCCCCGCCACAAACUCCGCUCCAGGCAAACCUCCAGGCCUCAACAAGGUUGAGGCUGGAGACAAUCCAACCCCUCCAUCACGGAGGAGUUGGAACAACGGCGGCGGCCUCAACUACUCUGCUCCACCUACCCUUACCCUACCUUACCUUACCCCAGACCCCACUAAGUUUUUCCCCUGUCCCCCUCCCCACCCUACGUAAGGGGAGGAGGACAGAUCUGACUUUCCUUUCUUAUGUACGUAGUAUAGUAUAGAAAUAUAGAUGGAAGUUAUCCUCGCUGCAAGCAGCAGCAAAGAGGUGACCUCCUCUCUAACCACUGUAAGGGGAGGAGGACACACCUGACUU